GACUUGGGAGUGAGCUGAGGUAAGGACUUAUUUAUGAAAUUGGUUGGCUGGUGCAGAACCCAGCGGGUUUGGAUUAGACGGAAAGACCCCGAGAGCUUGUGUUUUCAUUUUAUUUGGGGAGAAGGCAGGUGUUUCACGUGCUUUUUGAUCCUAGUGUGGAUAAAAGGUUUAAGUUACCUCGGGGAUAACUAGGUAAGAAGCAAGGAGAGGCCUUAUUGAUUUGCUUGGUUGCCAUCUCGAUGUUGACUUGGGAUAAGUGGGGGGAUGCAGCAGUUCCCCUGGAAGGUCUGUUCGACCCUAGAUUCCUUCAUGAGCUGA
rnacentral:rRNA from 1 species